rnacentral:rRNA from 1 species
UGCCAGCCGCCGCGGUAAUACGGAGGGUGCAAGCGUUAUCCGGAAUCACUGGGUUUAAAGGGUGCGUAGGCGGAAUAAUAAGUCAGAGGUGAAAGCCCGUCGCUUAACGAUGGAAUUGCCUUUGAUACUGUUAUUCUUGAAUUAGGUUGAGGUAGGCGGAAUGUGGCAUGUAGCGGUGAAAUGCAUAGAUAUGCCAUAGAACACCAAUUGCGAAGGCAGCUUACUAGACCUUAAUUGACGCUGAGGCACGAAAGCGUGGGGAGCGAACAGGAUUAGAUA